rnacentral:rRNA from 1 species
UACAGAGACCACAAGCGUUACUCGGAUUCACUGGGCGUAAAGGGUGCGUAGGCGGUUAGGUGUGUCAGGUGUGAAAUCUCAGAGCUCAACUUUGAGGCUGCGCUUGAAACUACCUAGCUAGAGUUUUGGAGGGGUAAGCGGAAUUUCUGGUGUAGCGGUGAAAUGCAUAGAUAUCAGAAGGAACACCAAUGGCGAAGGCAGCUUACUGGACAAAAACUGACGCUGAGGCACGAAAGUGUGGGUAGCAAAAAGG